CAUAAGGAGCAUUCUCCCUCAGUCAAUAUGUAACAUGCCCUCCGGUAUAUACUGUACUGUGCAUGCUUAAAGUUGCAAUUCUAAUGAAUCUGGCGAGGGUAAGAAGAAAUGAAUACACCAUAUGUAUUUAUCUAUUUGAGGGAGGUUGCAGGUGAGAGGGAGAGUUGGCCUACGCCUGUUCUCUGACAAAUUGUCCAGCUUUCCGAACUCACCCUGGGCCCUUCCAUUAGGCAUUAAGCUGGUCUCCAAGUGAAUGGUGUGAGUGCAAUGACUCCCUGCCCGAGGUGAAAACCCCAAUAAGUGACUGUCCCCCACCUGCCCCCAGGGGCAGUAAAUGCCAGCCCCUGGUAAUGUGCCAAACACCUACCCAUUUCUCUUCUGGUGAGAUCAUGGCACCAACGCAAGGAUACCCGAGGGCUGGGAAAUUAAAUCUCGAGAAAACAAUUCAGUUUUGUCUCACGACAUUGGAUCCUCAAAUUGUUGAAUGUUUGCUUAUGUAAAUAUUGUGGGAGUAGCUUAUUGAUUUUGGAAGAAUUGUUUGAAUGUUCUGCCAGCUGUUGUAGCCCAUGUGUGGAGAGACAAAAUCACUGCAAUGUGAAAGUGCCUGUGCGGAGAAAAGGAAGCCGUUAGUGUUUGGCAUCAAGAUUUGUUCAUAAAGAGUCAUUCUGCUUCAUUUACUCUGGACUCAGUUGCAAAGCCUGGCAACCAUCGGGAAGACUUCCUCAUGAAGCAGAAAUGAGACAUGGGGAAAUGCCGAGAAUUUCUCUUCCUCCACACUUAAACCUUGCUCCAUUCAAUGCUCAGGCUUAUUCAUCUCCUUCUCCGACAUCAUUCCUGUCUUAAUUUGCUUUUUAUUGUACACAGUACCUAUUCAGUUUUCUUUCUCAAGACUUUUCCUUUUCACUCCAGAGACAUUGAAAACUCAUUAUGUACCAGAUCCUUCCCCACCCCCCGAAUCAUGCCUAAUUAAUGGUUGCUCAGUAAAAACUGAAAGAACUGUGGAUGCUGUAAAUCAGAAACAAAAACAGAAAAUU